UACGGAGGGUGCAAGCGUUAUCCGGAUUCACUGGGUUUAAAGGGUGCGUAGGCGGCGCGGUAAGUCGGGUGUGAAAUCUCGGAGCUUAACUCCGAAACUGCAUUCGAUACUGCCGUGCUUGAGGACUGGAGAGGAGACUGGAAUUUACGGUGUAGCGGUGAAAUGCGUAGAUAUCGUAAGGAAGACCAGUGGCGAAGGCGGCUCACUGGCCCGGUACUGACGCUGAGGUACGAAAGCGUGGGGAGCAAACAGG
rnacentral:rRNA from 1 species